AGUGAACGCUGGCGGUAGGCCUAACACAUGCAAGUCGAACGGCAGCACAGUAAGAGCUUGCUCUUACGGGUGGCGAGUGGCGGACGGGUGAGGAAUACAUCGGAAUCUACUUUUUCGUGGGGGAUAACGUAGGGAAACUUACGCUAAUACCGCAUACGACCUACGGGUGAAAGCAGGGGAUCUUCGGACCUUGCGCGAUUGAAUGAGCCGAUGUCGGAUUAGCUAGUUGGCGGGGUAAAGGCCCACCAAGGCGACGAUCCGUAGCUGGUCUGAGUGGAUGAUCAGCCACACUGGAACUGAGACACGGUCCAGACUCCUACGGGAGGCAGCAGUGGGCAACAUUGGACAAUGGGCGCAAGCCUGGUCCAGCCAUCCCGCGUCGGUGAAGAAGGCCUUCGGGUUGUAAAGCCCUUUUUUUGGGAAAGAAAAGCAGCAGGUUAAUACCCCGCUGUUCUGACGGUACCCAAAGAAUAAGCACCGGCUAACUUCGUG
rnacentral:rRNA from 1 species